CCUUGCUUGCAAGGGCGGGGUUGUAGGGCCCGACACAUGGAAGUUACAAAACAGUCAGUUAGCGGAAAGGUAUGGGAAAGCCUGCCAAAGAGGGUAACAGCCCCGUAUGCGAAAACUGAUUGUCUUCCGUUGGGUACCUGAGUACUGCCGGGCACGCUAAUCCGGUAGGAAUCUGGGGAGUCCACUCUCCAAGGCUAAAUACAUUUGGCGACCGAUAGUGAACAAGUACCGUGAGGGAAAGGUGAAAAGUCCCCCUGUUAGGGGAGUGAAAUAGAACCUGAAACCGUAAACUUACAAGCAGUCGGAGGGCUAACAGCAGGUUGAGCCCCCUAGAAAUAGGGACGUUCCUUGCUAUGCCUGACGGCGUGCCUCUUGGAGAAUGAGCCUGCGAGUUAAUCUCAGUGGCAAGGUUAAGGGAGUGACACCCGAAGCCGUAGCGAAAGCGAGUCUUAAUAGGGCGUAUAGUCGCUGGAAUUAGGCCCGAAACCGUGUGAGCUACCCAUGGGCAGGGUGAAGCGAGUCUAAACACUCGUGGAGGCCCGAACUCACUAACGUUGCAAAGUUAGGAGAUGACCUGUGGGUAGAGGUGAUAUGCCAAUCGAACACGGAGAUAGCUGGUUCUCCCCGAAAUAGCUUUAGGGCUAGCGUCAUGCGUUUAGUAACUGGAGGUACAGCACUGAAUGGGCUAAGGGGCUUACAGCUUACUGAACCCAAUCAAACUCGGAAUGCCAGUUCUCCAUAGCAUGGCAGUCGGACUCCGGGAGAUGAGUUUCGGGGUCGAAAGGGAAACAGCCCAGACCAUCGGCUAAGGUCCUCAAAUCUAUGCUAAGUGGGAAACGAGGUGAGGUUACUGAAACAACCAGGAGGUUGGCUUAGAAGCAGCCACCCUUUAAAAAGUGCGUAACAGCUUACUGGUCUAGUGACUUUGCGCGGAAAACUUAACGGGGCUAAGCAUAGUACCGAAGCCAUGGGUCUCAACGCAAGUUGGGGCAGUAGGGGAGCGUUCUGUCAGCAGUGAAGGUCGAUCGUAAGGGCGACUGGAGCGGACAGAAGUGAGAAUGCAGGCAUGAGUAGCGUACAAACACGUGAGAACCGUGUUCGCCGUAAAUCUAAGGUUUCCGACGCCAGGUCAUUCCGCGUCGGGUUAGUCGGGUCCUUAGCCGAGGCCGAGAGGCGUAGGUGAUGGACAUCCGGUCAACAUUCCGGAACCGCUAGGAAGUGCGAUGGGAGGACGCAACGAGGUAGGCCAGCCCAUUAUUGGAUUUGGGUGCGAUCCAUCUAGGCGUUGAGAUUGGCAGGUAAAUCCGCCAGUUGAGCUGAGGUGAGAGCGAGCCGCAAGGCAUAAGUGGUUGAGUCUUGUUGCCAAGAAAAGUCUCUAAGCAUAACUUUACAGCGCUCGUACCGCAAACCGACACCGGUAGAUGGGUAGAGUAUACCAAGGCGAACGGGAGAACCCUCGUUAAGGAAUUAGGCAACAUGACCCCGUAACUUCGGGAGAAGGGGUACCCUCCUUAGUAUUAAAGCUUCGGAGGGUCGCAGUGAAAUGGCUCUGGUGACUGGUUAACAAAACCACAGGUCUCUGCUAAGCCGUAAGGCGAUGUAUAGGGGCUGACGCGUGCCCAGUGCCGGAAGGUUAAAGGGAGAGGUUAGCGCAAGCGAAGCUUUGAACUGAAGAAGCCCCGGUGAACGGCGGCCGUAACUAUAACGGUCCUAAGGUAGCGAAAUUCCUUGUCGGGUAAGUUCCGACCCGCACGAACCGCGUAACAAUUAGAGCACUGUCUCGACGAGAGACCCGGUGAAAUUGAAAUGGCUGUGAAGAUGCGGCCUACCCGCAGCAGGACAAAAAGACCCCGUGGAGCUUUACUGCAUCUUGGCAUUGUGUUUGGGUAUGAUCUGUGUAGCAUAGGUGGGAGGCUUUGAAGCUGGGGCGUCAGCCUCGGUGGAGCCAUUAGUGAAAUACCACCCUGAUCAUGUUUAGACCCUAACCCCACACCGUAAUCCGGGUGGGGGACCGUGCCAGGUGGGCAGUUUGACUGGGGCGGUCGCC
rnacentral:rRNA from 1 species